CCUCGCUCCGUUGGUGAAGGCUCUGGCGUUGGCCUGAGCGGUGGUGUAGGUCGCAGACACGGCUCAGAUCCCGGGUUGCUGUGGCUGUGGUGUAGGCUGGUGGCUGUAGCUCCGAUUUAGCCCCUAGCCUGGGAACUUCCAUGUGCCACAGGUGCAAUCCUAAAAAGAAAAAAAAAAUUAUUUUGGCUUUGGGGUGCCAAGCAUACGUUUAUCCCUAAUGGGGGGUUGGUGCACGUUGAAGGGCUAUUAUGACAAAAGUAACAUCUUUGGGGGUCUGCCCGGAUUCUUUUUUUUUUUGGAAAGGAGGCGGAACAGGCCUUGAGUUGGAGGAAACGCUUGCCUAGAUGCCCAGGGCACCUUGGCGUCCCAUCGGCCCCCCGCUGUCCACGGUGACAGGGAUGUCUCCUGUCGAAGGCUGUCUCCUCGGAGAACGGCCCUCCCUGGGCCCUCUGGGGAGAGGGGCAUUGGGGGACAGAGAGCCCACCCUCAGGGCACCGGCCGAACCAUGCACCUGUGUCCUGGGCCCACCAUCCCCCAACGCAGGUGGCACCCGGCCAGCUUGUUCUGUCCUCGGCGUCAGUCCCGCACUGGGCAUUUAGUGGUGCCGGCUGUGUGCCAGAUGCUAUUCCAGGCACUGGCUGUGGGGAGCUGACAGCCAGGAACCCUUGUCUUGAGGACCUUGGGCCCUGGGGAGGGGGACAGAUGCCCCCCAUGUGAUCACGCCUGUCUUGGCAAGAGAGGGCGUUCUGAGGAUGCUUGACCUGGAGUCACGGGGCGGAGUCCCCGGAGCCAGCCCUCCGGGUGCUGCGAGAGCACGCGGGGCAGAGGGGGAGCUUGGAGGGACAGACAGGAAGCCGGUGGGCUGCGAGCAGAGGGGGGGAAGAAGGCUAGACUCUGAGGUCUGAGGUCUGAGGUCUGGCUGUGGUGAGGUCAGGGGGCAGAGGAGCUCACACUUGGGCCUGAAGGCCAGAGAGGCUGUACAGGAUCCUGGCCGCCGUGGGCGUGACUGGAGGGUUUCCGCAGGGGAGCCGCAAGCCUGACUCUUGAGGCAUUGGCUCUUGUGGUUUCGGAGGCUGGGAAUGGUCUGCCGUCUGCCUGUGGAGACCCAGGAAGGCCGGCUUGGUGAUGUCAGUUGGUCUGCGUCUGCAGGCGUGAGCCCCAGGGGGGCGGACGGUGGAAACCCCAGUCUGAGGGAGGAGGGGCUGGGAUGAGCUGUGCCAGCUUGCGAAGGGGGGCAGGAGAAGGGCACGUGUUCUGUUCAGGCCUCGUGGCUGGACGGGGUCCACCCGCUCAGGGAGGCCCACCUCACCGCGCCCACCGACUCAGAGCUGAUCUCACCUGCAAACACCCCCAGACUCCCCCAGAGGUCAAGUCGCAUGUGCGACCCGGGGGCACACAGCCGUGAACGUCACAGGCAGCCGUGCAUGGUUUGGGUGGCAGUGGGAUUGAGGACCAGGGCACCCACAUCCUGGAAAGGCUCCUGUUGUCGGCUGGACAGCAGAGCUUCUGUGCCAGCUCCUGGGACGCAUGAACAAGCUCCCAGAUUGAGGGGGACGGGAAGGACUUGCCACGCCUGCGGCUGGAGACCCCCCUUGCCGGGCCUGGCUGCCCGAGGUCGGGGCUGGCCUUGGGGUGGGGAUCCAGCCGCCAGCACGGCUGAGCAGCAGGCCAUCGCUGCCCAGUGGGCUUUGACCUGAGUCUUCCCCCCUAGUGACCUUGGGCUGGUCCCCCGGUCUCCUCUGUCUGCGGGGAUGGGACCACAGGCCCGAGCACGGGGAGCAAGGUCUGGCCAGCGCCACCUUUAAGCUUGUGGCCUGAGCAGUCUCUGCCAGGGCCUGGUGACUCGCUGCUCUCCUGGGGCACACGUUCCAUCCCCAGGGGGUGGGGGGGUCGGGGGGGGGGAUCACGGAGCCCCGCCUCUUUGCCUUCGUUUCCUGUGGGAAUAAACAAACGCCAGCUGGAUGCGACACACAGGCUGUGUACACAGAGCUUGCUCUGUACGAGGAGUCAGCCACCUUCACUGCAUUUGACAGGGACUCAAAGGCAGUCCCUAGGGGACAGAUGUGCAUUUAGGAAGCAAACAAACAAAGGGAAGCCUUGAACGUACGAAAAAACAGUCAGUGUACGAGACCCUAUCAUGAAAGGACUGAGGUGAUAGGAUCGUCUCAGCAGAAGCAGAAGGAACACUUGCCAAAACCCAGCACUUUCCGUGAUGAAAACACCCAGCGCUCAGAAGAGGAAGGAAUGCCCCCCACCAGGUAAGGGGCAUCUACGGACCCACAGCCAGCAUCACACCUGGUGGUCAAAGUCUGAGACCAUCCCCUCAGCUGAAGAGCGAGACAAGGACCUCACUCUGCCACUUUUAUCCCGCAGUGUCCUGGAGGUUCUGGCCAGAGCGUUCAGGCAAGAGGAAGGGAACAUAUCGGAAAGGAAGGCACGAAUGGCCUCUGUUUGCAGAUGACACGAUGCUGUGUCUAGAACAGCCUAAGACACCCACACACAUGGAGUUCCCAUCAUGGCGCAGCGGAAACGAAUCCGACUAGGAACCAGGAGGUUGCAGGUUCGAUCCCUGGCCUCGCUCAGUGGGUUAAGGAUCUGGCGUUGCCAUGAGCUGUGGUGUAGGUCGCAGACAUGGCUUGGAUCUGGUGUUGCUGUGGCUGUGGUGCAGGCCGAUGGCUAUAGCUCAGAUUGGACCCUAGCCUGGACCCCAUCCCUAUGCCUCAGGUGCGGCGCUCAAAAAGACAAAAGACUAAAAUAAAUAAAUAAAAAUUAAAAAAUCAUCUUAGAAAAAAAAAAGAAAUCCAUAUACACAAAAUUCAAACUAAUAGGUGUCAGGAUACAAGAUCAAUAUGCAAAAAUCAAUUUCAUUCCUAUACAACAGCAAUGAGCAAUCUAAACAUGGAACUAAGAAGGCAGGCCCUGGAGUUCCCUGGUGGUCUAGGGGUUAGGAUUUGGCACUUUCACUGAUGUGGCCCAGGUUCAGUCCCUGGUCUGGGAAGUGAGACCCCUCAUCAAGCUGCAAAAAAAAAAAAAAAAAGAAAGAAAGAAAGAAAGAAAGAAAUAGGAAAAAAAAAAGACAGACAAUCCCAUGUGUAACAGCAGCAAACAGAACAAAACAUAUUGGAAUAAAUGAUGUAGCAAAGAAACAUAAGACUUCUGCACUGAAAAUUGCAAAACAUUGUCAAAAGGAAUGAAAGCUUUAACUAAAUGGAAAGAUCCUUGGGGUUCACAGACUUGAGACUGUUUUGUGCCAAUACUCCCCCAACUGAUCCCUGGCUCCAAUGAAACCCCUGUCAAAAUCCCAGCUGGCUUUGAGAAGCUGAUCUUAAAAUGAUGUGGGAAUGCACGACCCAGAUUUGCCAAAACCAUCUUGAAAAAGGAGAGCAAAGUUGUUGGACCACUUCUGGAUGCAGACGUACUGCACAGCUUACAGCGAUCAAGGCAGUGUGGUACUGAGGCAAAGACGGUACUGAUCCGGAUCAAUGGGCUAGAGCUGAGACUCCAGGAAUAAACCCUCACAUUCAUGGUCAGUCGGUUUGGACAAGGGCGCCAAGACAACGCAGUGAGGAGGGGAACUGCCUUUUCACCAGCAGGUGCCGGAAACAGCUGGAUGCCCCCAGGCAAAAGAAUGAAGCUGCACAGAGUUUCCGUGUGGCUGAGGGGGUUAAGGAUCUGGCAUUGUGACUGCUGUGGCACACGUUUGAUCCCUGGCCCGGCAAAAAGAGAGAAGAAUAAAGUUGAGUCCCUACCUCACACCAUACACAAACAUUAACUCAAAAUGGACCAUAGCCUUCAAUGUAAAAGCUGAAACUAUAAAACCCUUAGAGAAAAACAUUAGUGUUUGGGACCAUGUGUUAAACAACCAUCUCUUAUAAACGACCCCAGAAGCACAGCAAAGUAGGAGCAAGUAGGUCAGUUGGACCUGGCUAAAAGUUUGAACUUUCGUGUAUCAGAGGAUACGGUGUGUCGACGUGUGGGGGUUUCAGAAUCACUUGUUUAUGGAGUCGUUCAGUGAAGUUAAGUGACGUCGUUGUGAGCCACUCGAUGAUGGGGCAAAGACCAAAAAAAAAAAGGAAGAAGUUGUUUUUAGAAGUAUAGUUGUCUGGAGGUAAGAAUGACGCGAGCUGUGUCCCGGUGGCGGCAGAGCUCCGCUGCUCUGCCGGGAACCAGGCCGGGGGCUUAUCAGUCAGAACGUGUGACCAGCUCUGGUGUGAGGACAUGAGGACUUGAUGGGCCGCAGUGACAAACAGGGCAGCAGUCUCUCCAAGGAGGUCAGCCUGCCGGCCAGCAGCCGCUCCGUCGUUCCCUAGCAACACGCCCUAGCAACAGGGGACUUUUAUUUUCACGCUGGCGGCGGGGCAUCCGCCGACAUCCGCUUUAGGAGAAACGGAAACUUCGUGCAAAAGGUACAUCUCAACUGAAUUUGGGCUGUAUUCCUUUCAUCUCCCUUUGCCUGGAACAGCAAUUCAUCUGUCAUUUGCUUGGAGCAUGUUGUUGCUUUAUUGGCUUGUUAAGGGACAUUCGCAUGCAUGCCUGUGACUGCGUAAUUCCCGCAGUGACCCUGUGUUAAAGAAACUAUUGGCAGAGACGGUCUCCGGCUCCGAGCGUAAAAUCUGCUGCCACUGACACGAAUACCACCAAGGGGGUGGAGCAACACCCCGCGAGAGGGAGACGAUGUCUGCAGAUCCUGCAUCUGAUCAGCGAUGCAUCUGGAACAGGUAGGAGCUCCGAACCCACCAAGGCAAGCAACCCAGCGUGGAAAAGGACAGCGGAGCAGCGGAAGAAACAGUUUCCAAAGCAGAUCUCAUCCAUAAGCGCAGGAGCGAUCCCAACGCCCCGAAGAAGCAGGAAGGUGCACAUCAGAACCCCUGUGAGGAGUCCCUCCCCACCCGCCAGGACAGGCCAUCCCCAGAAAGACGUGACAGAAGGAGCGUUUCUAGGGGCGUGGAGAGGCCAGAGCCUUCAAGCGCUGCUGGCGGAUGCAGGCAUUUUGCACAACAGUCGGGCAGUUCCUCAAAAUGCUCAGCCGCGGGACGCGGCAAUGCCUGCGAGAGAACCCUGAUGAAUUUCUCCAAGAGUCUGACACCCGCAGGGGACCGCGUUUCCAUCCUCGGAGCCAGGUGUGCGGGAUCCGGGGAGGACGGGCUCCUGGCCUUCUUCUCCAGCGCAGCCCGGUCCAUCCCAGCCAGGCCACCCUUCUGGCGAGUGAGACAGCCGUGCGGGGGAGCUGGCCAAGGUGGACAGACAGCGGCCGACACCCUGACACGGCAGCGAGCCCCGCCGAGCCCAGGCAAGCUGAGCCCCCCUGAUGCCGCACAGCGUAGCGCCCGGCCUCAUGGUGACUUUUGUGGGUAUUUGUUGACUUGGGUGUUUUGUUGUGGCAGCACCUGCUUCCACGGGCCUUUUCUGUCAUUGUCGGGAGGGACCAGAUGAUGCGGUGGGAACAAAUAAGCCCCAGACCUAAAAUGAUGUGGCGCCGGCUGAGCAGACAGGCUGCUGGCCGUCGAGCGGAGGGCAGAGGUGGGGACAAAGUGAUCCUCGAUGCUGGGACAGCGCUUGGUGAAAAUCCAUGGCCACGUGGCAGGUGGACUGCGAGGGAACCGAGCUGACGGCCACGGCAGAAAGUGGAAAACAGAACCUGUGUGGGUGUGUGUCCCGUGGGGGUGUGUCCCGUGGGUGUGACCUGUGUGCGUGUGUCCUGUGGGUGUGUGGGGGUGUGUCCCAUGGGGGUGUGUCCCGUGGGUGUGACCUGUGUGCGUGUGUCCUGUGGGGGUGUGUGCGUGUGUCCCGUGGGGGUGUGUCCCGUGUGUGCGCUGGGGGCCGUGGCUGUGCUGUGGGAAGAGCAGAACAAGGAGGAGUAAGAUUGGGAAAGAUACCCCGUUUGCAGGCGAGAAACAAAAGUGGGUCUGGACACGGAUAUGGAAAUUCAGAAUCAUGCAAGGCUGGACGUCAGCAGCUUCCAGAAUUAGGAUGUUAAGAGUUCGGCGACAGAGGCCGGGAACAGCCUCUGCGCCGGGGCCAGGGAGGUGGAGGUCAGAGAGGGGUAAGGCCUGCACCUCGAGCCCAGAGCCCUGGCGGCUGCUGUCGCUGCGGGAGGAGCGGGAGCCGCCGGCCCCGGGCCUUCCCUCGCCUGCGGGAGCCGCUGGUGGCGCGGGCCUCGUGGCUCUGGGGUCGGCCGAGGGGUGUGGGGAAGGGACAGCCACGCACCCCCUUGUCCCGUCUUGUCCCAUCUUCCUUCUGUCCCAGCCUCACAGCUGCCCCAGCCUCAGUCCGGCAGCUGCCCCUCGUCACGGUCCCCAUCCUAGACGCCCAGACGCGGGGACACGGCGCCCCUCACCCUCAGCUGGACACUUGGUUUUGCCCAACACACACACGCACACGCACACACGCACACACGCCCUUGUGCACACACACACACACGUGCGCACACACCCAGCUGCCCCCCCACCUAUGUGCCUACACAACCGUGCGCACAAUGCACACCCAUGCUCACACCUAUCUGCACGCGCACGCAUGCACGCCCACACAUGUGCGCACACGCGCAUCAGACCUUGCCCGACGACCCCGCCCUUGCUGUCCCCAGGGCUGCCCAGAGGGGUGCGGGGAGGAGAGAGGGUUUGUCUCCCUUCCGUGGGACCUGCCAGCUCCCAGCCGAGGAGAGGCAGACACCGCUGCCACGCUGGACAGAUGGGUCUGGAGCCCUGCUGUGUGUCGGGGGCCACCCCCCGGACACCUGCGGCCUGUGUGUGGGGGGGGCGGCUGCGUGACCUCUGCCCCCAGCCUGGUGAGGCCUCUGCCCGGGCCCGGGGCCUGGCUGCAGCAACCACGGUGCCCACCCUCUCCCUCCCAUCCCCACGGACGUGCAGCCCCCUCUGGUCUGAGAGCGGAAGCCUUUGCCUUCCAGGGUCACCCUGACCCGUCUGAAGAGGCACGAGGACUCUGCCAGCCGCACGCGAGCAGGAGGGCAGGCUGCAGGUCGCGGGCACAGCAGGACCAGAGCACCUCCGGGGGGCGUUCGAAAGGUUGCCCCUUCCUGCCGCUGGCCAGGACCCCAGUGCUGCGCCCUGGAUGGUGCACAGCUUAUGUCCUGCCUUCUGCCUCCCACUGUCCUUCCCUCGUGCAGGGUGGGUGGGGAGGGGGCUCACGGGCCCAGGGGUCCCCUCUGAGGGCUAGGCCUGUGUCCUCGUGUGACGGCUGGGACGCUCCAGGGGCAGGACUGAGUCAGCGCCCGCCAGGCACUCAGACCAGCACUUGGGGGGCCCCUCCCAUCCCUGGGGGCCAGGGGUGGCGCGGCCGGGCCUCCCCCUUCACGUCCUCAUCUGUGGGACUGUGACGUUUUCACCUAUAGGAGGGGCUGUGUCAACAUGCAGGUGACGGGACCAGCGCUGCACGCCCAGGCGAAGCUGUAGCACCUGCCAGUACGUUGCGUGUCACCUCCCAGGGCCUCCCUGGGGGCUUUUGUCCAGCACCGAGAACCUGAGCGACCAGCGCACACCCAGGUGGGAAGGAAGAGGCCGGGCUGCCACACGAAGGCUCCUGGGGACGGAAGCCAGGCAGAGCCGUCAUACCAUCUGGCUGCAGCUCCUGGAGAAUUUGCCGGAACCCUCUGGGGAGGCGGGUCAAGGACCAAGCAGAGCCAGGCCAGCCUUGCCGGGGUGCCCGGAGGAUGGCGAACGUGGGGCCUGUCCCUCCACUCCUGGCCACGAGACCGUGUCCACCAAGGUCCAGGAUGCCUCAGCGUUUGUCCCUUCGUCCCGCCCGCAGGCGGCGAAAGUCAGGAGAAAUGCAGGUGAAAACACUCACCCCCCACAACCCCGAAGGAAGAAACCGUGAUGGGACGUUAAAAACACCGGGCAGGGGCCGAGCGGCGGGAACCGGGCAGGCGCGGGCCCCGCAGACAAGGCGCCGCGCGGCGGCUUGAGCGUCACACAGUCCGGCAAACUGGAUCCCGAGAGGACAAAGCCAAGGGCGCUACCUACAGCUUCAGCAGGGGAUCAAGGUGAUGGUGAGAGUGUGUGAUGACGCUGGCGGUUCUCCAAACGAGGCGCGCGGCGACCACACAGCGCAGCGGGGCCCUCGGGCGUCUCGCCAAAGGAAAGGUACGUUUUCGUCCACUCAGAAAACCGCAGGCAGGUGUCCGCGGCAGCGUUAUUUAGAGCAGCGCCUCGGCCGGGUUUUCCAACAUCCGCCUCUAAUCCCGAGGCUCUGGACACCAGCCAGUGUGUUCUGAUGCCACGGGCCUGGGGUUCGUGUCGGGGCCCCUGGUCGAGGGCCCAGCCCCACAGGACGGCCCCCACUUCCGACGCCAGCCACAUGUCCAGGGCCACCCGUGCUGCUGAUGGACCGGCUGUGGAUCGGGGUUCCCGUCCCCCCUCCCCAGGUUUGAUCACUUCCGGGACCGGCUUGCGGGGCUCAGGAGCGUGUUUUACUUAGUACACCUGCUUGUUAGAAAAGACGCCGCUCAGGAAGAGCGGGGGGGAGAGAUGCAGGGUCGGGGUGGGGUGGGGGGUGGGGGUGGAGCUUCCGUGCCCUCCUGGGUGCGGCCCCCUCCCGGCUGCCCACCAGCCAGAGCCCGUUGGUUUGGGGCUUCUCUAGAAGGUCCCUUUUGGAGGCGUGGCUGGUUAAACCACUGGCCACAGCGACUAACUCAUCCUCCAGCCCCUCUCCCUUCCCCAGAGGUGUCUAAUCGUGUCUGGUCUUUUCGGAGACCCGUGCCCAUCCUGGUGUGACCUAGGGGUCUGCAGCACAGGUCAUCUCAUUAGCUGACAAAGGACAUUUAUUAUUCCAAGAUGCCCAGGGUUUUAGGAACCCUGUGCCAGGGACCAGAACAAAGACUACAAAUUAAUUUGUUUCUUUAAUUUUUUUUUCUUUUUUUAGGGCCGCACCCGUGGCACACGGAGGUUCCCAGGCUAGGGGUUGCAUCAGAGCUGCCGCUGCCAGCCUACAUCACAGCCACAGCCACGCAGGAUCCGAGCCGUGUCUGCGACCUACACCACAGCUCACGGCAAGACCGGAUCCUUAACCCACGGAGCGAGGCCAGGGAUCGAACCUGCAACCUCAUGGAUACUAGUCAGGUUUGUUACUGCUGAGCCACAAUGGGAACUCCUAAUUUGUUUCUUAUAUCACGGGUGCCCUCUGGUCUCUGACUAGAGCCACUAGCAAAACCACUGUAAAAGUCAAGAGAUACUGCAGUUUCCACUGUGGCUCAGUAGGUUAAGAAUCUGACUGCAGCGGCUCAGGUCGCUGUGGAGGCACAGGUUCAGUCCCUGGCCGGAGUGGGUUAAAGGAUCUGGCAUUGCUGCAGCUGCAGUUUGGAUUCAAUCCCUGGCCAGGAACUUCCAUGUGCCGCGGGCGCAGCCAUUAAAAAAAAAGUCAAACCACAUUGGCACGUUGCCAGAGCCAGCCCAGUCCAUCACCCUGUGUGAGAAUGUCCCCAGGGCGAGGCCACACAGGAGCGGGCCUCACGAUGUGGUCAGAUUCCAAAACAGGAGUGCACCAGGCCCCGGCCCGCCUCUCAGGCCCUGGUGUAUGUGAGCUGUGGGACGCCCUUGUCCCCAGCCUCUUUUGGGCACUGACUCCCUUCCUUCCAGCACAAGCCCACGGGCCCAUCCCCUGACCCUUCACCCGCUGCCCACCUCCUCCGCGUGCACCCAGACUCCCGCCCGCGAGAUGGGUAACAGGUUCACAUGGAGCCGGUCUAGAUUGCAGGCCGCUGUGUGCACCCAGAGAGUGCCUGCCCUCAGCCCACUUCCGUCCAAGCAGGUGCGGGGCUCGUGGGCUCUCCGACCCCUGGGGGACGCCGCUGCUCCUGCUGUCGGCCCCAGGUUCGCACAGGGGGGCGGGGGCAGCACCCCCCCCCACACACACACACCUCUUCAGGCCCUGACGUCAGGUUCACAGACAGUGACAGUUUCUCGCCCGAGGUCAUCUCUGUUUCUGGCCCUUGUAGCUGCAGACCUGGUCAUUUUUGGCAUUUUUUUGGUGGUUUUUUUUUUUUUUUUUCUUGCUUUUUUAGGGCCGCACCUGCAGCAUAUGGAAAUGUGGAAGUUGCCAGGCUAGGGGCCGAAUCGGAGCUACAGCUGCCAGCUUGCCCCUGUCCACUCGUGCGGGGUGGGCGCCCUGCGGCCCGUCUCAGCCUCUCAGACCUGCGCUCAGGAGGGCAGCUCUGCCCGUGGCUGGGCGUGAGGCGCGGUCCAGCGAGUGCCUCGUGCUGAGGAAACCAUGGUCGGCCGCCCAGACGCAACACGUCUCUUCCCGUCUGCUCACCGCUUCUGAGCCUCUGCGUCCAGGGUGAGCGUCUUCCUGUCCCCCAGGCCCCCAGCCUCAGCCUGACCCUCCAGCUUCCGGGCACCCCCUGCACCCCAGGGAGCCCGCCCCACAGUCACUUGCCACCUGGGUCUGUAGUUGGUGGCGGCCCCUCUCCUGCUGGCAUUUUGUGCCUCGGAAGCUGUGGACCCAUCACUGCGUCACCGCGGGGGCCCUGUCCACUCACCUCGUGCACCCAGGCGCGUGCCUCAGCUGAGCACAGCAGGCACCUGCUUGCCGAUUCCAGAUUCCAGCGCCUUCUGAACCUGCCGAGGCUUCCCCUGAUGUUCCCGCCUGAGCACCCCCACGCCCCCAGAGUGAUUUCCGUGGGGCCCUCGUGGGCGUCCCUUUAACGGGCCAGGUAUCCGUAGCCUUCAUGCUGCCCUCAUGCUCGUUGCCGCUGCCCACGUGUCAGUAGAAACCCACAUGCAGGACUGUGCCCAGCAUUCAACCCUCCCACCGUGGCCGGCCGGCCGGCAGCCCGCCAGACGGAGGCCUGCGCCCUCCUCCUCCAUCCAGUCUGGCGCCUUCCAGACAGCAGGCAACUGCCGCCCGCAGCUCCUUGAUGGUCAGUGGAGAGCUGUUCGUGGGGCACCGUCUGCUGAAUCCAGCCGCUCCCCGGGCUGCGGGAAGCCUCCCGGGAGGCCAUGGCUCUGUCCCCAGAGUGUUCCUCCCUCGUCCUCUGGACGCUCUGGGCCCUUCAGUUUCUGUGAUCAUUCUCCGUCCUCCGACCCCGGGGUGGCUCCAUGGGGUCUGACGACAAGGUGCUAAACCCCCCGAAUGGAGGUUCCCUUGUCCAGAGUUCGGGCGUCGUGGCUGGGAGGGUCCCGUGGGCUCCAGCCCCGGUCUCGGCGGCGUGUGGCCAUCGCACAAGACCUGCCCGCCCGGCGCCUCUGCUUCUGUUUCCCCUGCUGGUGGGGGGCUCAGGCCCUCUUACUGGUUCCCAUUUAGCUGGGCCAGGGAACCCGGCUCGAAGGGCGGGCUUGCCCGCCUCCUUCGCGAGCUCGGGCAGGGGAAACGGCCCACAGGGGCAGAGCCCGACCCCCAGGCGCAAGCAGGCACCAGAGGCGCCGUCACUUCUCAGGAGCCUGUGCCGACAGCCCCGCUGUCCUCCCAACCCUGACCUUGAGUCCACCAAGCCCGGCUCCUCGCAGUGCUGCCCCUGGGACCUCACCUACAGGGUGUGGUUUCACUGGGGAGGGAAGCGCCCCCGGCUGUGGCCUCAUAUCCGUAAUCCCCAUGUCCUAAAUCAUGAAGUAAAGCCUGGCUGCACCCCUGCCACCCCUCACGCCCCGUACUCCCCCAAACCGCCUUUCCGAUUGCCGGCUCCACCAGCCGGUUGGUUUUGGCUCCAAGGGCCUGGGGGCUUCUGCACCGCGGCCUCCCGGCCCAUGUCCCGACCCGAGCACUGUGCCCACGCUGUUCGAUCCCUGGCCUCGCUCGCUCGGUGCGCUAGGGAUCCAGGGCUGCCGUGGCUGUGGUGUGGGCCGGCGGCGGCUCCCAGAAGGCUCUGGGUCUCCAGCAGACUCUCUUGUCGACUUCGACCUUGAUUGAGCUGCCUGAUCCCGGUCCCCAGGGGCCUCCAGGUCUGCCCCCUCAUUGUCACCUCCGCCCUCGCUGCUCCUUUCAUUCCUCCAAACUGGGGAAAACAGACCAGACUUCUUGGGGGCCCCUAAGUGUUGGGGGUCCCCUGGGCCCCGACCCCGAGAGCUCUGAGUGAAGACCUUUGUUUUGCCCCAUCGACGACCUUUCUCUCAAGCCAUUUCCUAGUCUCCCUCUGAUUUCCACGCCGCCAGGCAGAGUCCCCCGUCUUCCCCAUUUUAUUAUUAGUCAGUUAUGUUUUGAGGAGCGUCUGUGAAACCCAUGGAGCUGAGACAGCAGGUUCUUCCGUCCGCUUUCUUCCUGGGGGGGGGGGCGUGCAAGGGGGCUCCCCGUGCAGUUUGUUCCCACUGCCUGUGAACCUAUAAUUAUUUCAAAAUAAUUGGGAAAAAGUUGCAGGCUGCGAAAUUCGAGCACUUUGAUGAAGUGGAAACGUUGCUAGACAAUGACUGGAUCGAGUACACGCCCGAAGGAAUCGAGCGGAGCAGGUCCCGCGGACUCCCGCUGCGGCUCAGAGGAAACGAACCCGACGAGCACCCAAGAGGAUGCAGGUUCCACCUCUGGCCUCGCUCGGUGGGUUAAGGAUCCCGCGUUGCUGUGGCCGGGGCGCAGGUUGGCGGCUGCAACGCCGAUUUGACCCCUAGCCUGGGGACCUCCCUAUGCUGCAAGUGUGGCCCUAAAAAGACCAAAAGGAAAAACAAACAAACAAAAAGCCUUCAUGGCAACAUCGAGACUGGUGUUUGACCAACUCGCUGGGCACCAAGGCCUGACCGAGUUGACACGAAAUGAGCCAUCACACUGGAUAAAUGUGUGCUCAUCGUAUAAUUCUUUCUGCUUCUUUUCUGUAUUAAUGUUUUCAUUAAAAGGUAGGAGGCAAAGGAUAUUUGUUCACCAAAAGUCACAGUAAAGAAAGUGAAAGUCAAGUCACAAACGGGAGACAGUCUUUAUUUUUGUCUUUUUAGGGCCACACCAGUGGCAUAUGGAAGUUGCCAGGCUACGGGCUGAAUUGGAGCCCCAGCUGCCCAGCCUACACCACAGCCACGGCGCCGCCGGAUCCCUGAGUCAUGUCUGUGGCCUGCACCACAGCUCACGGUGAGGCCAGGGAUUGAAUCCACACCCUCGUGGACACCAGUCGGGUUCGUUACCACUGAGCCACAACACGAACGCCAGUCUUUUUUGGGGGUAAUGGCCAUACCCAAGGAAUAUGGAAGUUCCCGGUCCAGGGAUUGAAUCUGAGGGACAGCUGUGACCUACGCUGCGGCUGCAGCAAUGCCGGCUCCUUAACCGAGGUCACUGGGCUGGGGAUCGAACCUCUACCUCUGAGCAACACAAGCUGCACCUGUGGUAUGUGGAAGUUCCCAGGCCAGGGGUCACAUGAGAGCUGCAGCUGUGGUCUACACCACAGCCAAAGCAACACCGGAUCCAAGCUACAUCUUCAACUACCCCAUGGCUCUCGGCAAUGCCGAAUCCUUAAUCCACUGCGCGAGGCCAGGGAUCAAACUCGCAUCCUCACAGAGACAGCAUCGGGUUCUUAACCCACUGAGCUACAGUGGGAACUCCAGGAGAUAAUCUUUACACUCAAGUAACAAGUGAUUUCUACCCAGUAAGACAUAAAACUUCCCCAUGAGUCAGAAGAAGAGACGUAGGAUGCAGUAAAAAUCUCAGCAAAAGACACGAGUAGAUAUUUGGCAGAAUAGGAAACAGAAGCAGCCCAUAAUCACAACCUGGUGAACAAGCGGGGACCAGGAAGGCAGCACAGCACAGCACCUCACACCUGCCAGAGCGACAGAAGUUUGAAGUUUGUGCACCGCUGUGAGGCUAGAGCUGGAACGAGCAACUCGGAUGGCUGCUGGGCGAGGUCACUGAGGGUGGACGUGCGCGCGCACCGCGAUUUGGCGCCACCGCCGCUGGACGGGACCCUACCUCGGCUCUCAGCCUGUGAGCUGUGCCCACGGCCAGGGUGGCUCUUGAAAUCAGGGGGUGACAUAAGCACGGCUGUGGCUUCAGGUUAUUCAACUGGUGCAGAUUGGUGCAGGUUGCCGCACCUGGCACGUGGCUGCCCCACCAGGGGAUGCCUCGUUUGGUUUGGGCAUGUUGGGUCUGUCCCGAGUGGCAGAAAACUAGAGGCCAUUUGCCAUUAGCUAGAGGGACAGGAGGGUGGUCUUGCCUUGGGACUGUGCAGGUGCCUGGGCUCUCGGCCACAGCCGAGUCCGCAGGGACCUUGACCACUGGUCCGACCUGCGCCCCGGCUCCCGACCCACACGCUGUGCUGAGGAAGGUGCAGAGUUGGAGGAAAGCCUGUGAAAACACGUCCUUGCUGGGUCCUGGGCACACAGGUGGGUCCCCUGUGUGGCCUUGUCACCUGCGCACAGCACCUCUGCAGGAAGCCGCUUCAGGGCACCGGCUCCGCUUCCGCCUGCAUCCAGGUGGCACGUCGGGUACAGAGCCAGUGGAGGUGCCCCGGUGGCUCCGGCAGCUGGAGAUGUUGGUCCCACGUGGGGGCACCGCCGCACUCUGCCAGGACCUCACCUCCCCUUUGCCCACGCAGCGUUUGGCUUCCCCCUGGGCUCAGGGAGAGGCUGACUCUGUCCGUGGGAAAGCAGGGUGCCUGGAACCGCUCAUCCUCUGGGUCAUGAAGCCGGGCAGGCCCAGCGGCUCCCCACUGCCCGUGACGCUGGGCGUCCAGACCCUGUGAGGUUCCUGAACCCACGGCGUUCAGGCAGCCCCUCCCCCAGUCACCCCUGUGCCACCCAGUGGCCCGCAUGUAAAGCAGACAGAGGGUGGCAAGGGGAGCUGCCCGGGGGCCUAGCCGUCGGGCCGACCUGGACAACCCCGCAGCCGGAUGACGGUUUCUCACAGCAGCAUCCAGUUCAGCACCCAGAUGCGGUGUCUUACCUCCUGGGAGCCGGCCUGCCACCUGCUCACAGGUUCACUGACUUUGAACCCUGUAUUGGUCAGGAUUCUCCAGAGAAACAGAACCAGGGGGCUGGUGUUCCCUGGGGGCUCAGCAGGUUAGGGAUUUGGUGUCGUCAUGGCCGUGGCGUGGGUUCGAUCCCUGGAAUUUCAUAUGCCGCGGGUGCAGCCAAAAUAAUACUAC